AUUGAACGCUGGCGGAAUGCUUUACACAUGCAAGUCGAACGGCAGCACGGGGGCAACCCUGGUGGCGAGUGGCGAACGGGUGAGUAAUACAUCGGAACGUGCCCAGUCGUGGGGGAUAACGCAGCGAAAGCUGUGCUAAUACCGCAUACGAUCUAUGGAUGAAAGCGGGGGACCGUAAGGCCUCGCGCGAUUGGAGCGGCCGCUGGAAGAUUAGGUAGUGGGCGGGGUAAAGGCUCACCAAGCCGACGAUCUGUAGCUGGUCUGAGAGGACGCCGCGCCACACUGGGACUGGGACACGGCCCAGGCUCCUACGGGAGGCAGCAGUGGGGAAUUUUGGACAAUGGGCGCAAGCCUGAUCCAGCCAUUCCGCGUGCAGGAUGAAGGCCCUCGGGUUGUAAACUGCUUUUGUACGGAACGAAAAGCCUUCUUCUAAUACAGGAGGGUCAUGACGGUACCGUAAGAAUAAGCACCGGCUAACUACGUGCCAGCCGCCGCAGUAA
rnacentral:rRNA from 1 species